UUUUCUGGCACAGUAGAAGGUGUGGAAAGUGCUGAGCUGGCACUGAAAGACCCCCGAAGGGAGACCCUCACUCAAGCCUCGGGACAGCCGCGGACCCAAGAAGACACUGAGACCG
rnacentral:pre_miRNA from 7 species